GGCGUUGAGGGGUUAAAAUGGUAAGACAAAUUUACCCAUUAUAUAAACCAGUAGACUACAGUCUCUUUAGACUCAUUUUACCCUAGAGUCUUUUCGCAUUCUCCGUCGUUUCGUCUUCUAAUCAGACAUGGAUAAGGGUAAACGUAAUCCGGGAGUGAACCCGGGCUUUUCUUUUAGUUAUGGUGAAUUUAAAGGCAGUUGCUUAAAAGUUUAUCAGGAAGGGGUAGCAAAAGUUAUUAAGAUUUUGGAAAAUUUAGAUGGACAGAUUGCCCUCUCGAUUGAGUUAUUGAGGCUGGACACUUAUGGUCUUCCUCGUCCCAAAGAUUGUGAUGAGCCAGAGAUUAUUGACUAUUUGUGUGUCAGAGCUCAUUUUAUUGAUGAUAAUUGGAAACCAAAGUCGUGGGUUCUUUACUAUGUUGAUGCAGACCACAUUAUGGAAACUGGCUAUGAGAAGACAAUUCUGAAAUGUAUUUUGGAUAUGCGCAUUGAGAAUAAGAUAUUCACUGUGACACGUGCAUAUGAUAAUAUGUAUUUUGAACUGAUUGAGGUUGUAGAAAACCAGGCUAAGGAGAAGAAAACACUGCAAUCAAAUUGCCAGCCAUUUAAAAUAUAUUGUUGUGCUAACCUUUUAGGCAGAAUGGUGGAAGCAGCUUUUAAGGACAUUUCUGACAUUAUCUUGAAAAUAACACAAAAAAAUUUUAUGUACUGGCACCUUACAUUCAGUACACUACAAAAUGCGAUGAAGGCGGAGGCUGAUGGAGAAUUUUCAGAGCUGUUUGGUUGUGAUUAUUUUGAUCCACCUACUGAGGAAGAAUGGACUAAACUUAAAUAUGUUUGCAGACUGGUGGAUUACAUAUAUAAUGCAGCAGAGAUACUGUACUUCACAAAAAAUCCUACUGCUAGCCUAUAUCUUCAUAAUCUUCUGGAGCUUCAGGCAAGCUUGAGGAAAGAGUCUAUCAGUCCUGACAGGUUAACUAUAGUCACAGAUCUUCUAAAGAAGUUUGAUGAGUACUGGAAUGACAUGUUCUUGGUGCUGGCUAUUGCUACUGUGCUGGAUCCACGCUGCAAGAUGAAGUAUAUAGAAUUUUCAUCUCUGAAGUAUGAGGAUAAUUCAGGAAACACGCAAGUCAUAUCUGUUCUUGAGGCAAUUCGGGGGAUAUAUGAUGAUUAUAAGAUGCAUAGUCUUGAAUCACAGACUUCCAAGCCUUCUGAUCCAAAGCCCUCUGGUUUAAAACCUUCUAAAUCAGAUUCAGACUCGGACGGGGAUGAACUUUGUUCUGACUGCAAAGGAAUUCCAAAGCAUACACUAGAGAGACUCGAAAAUUGUAACUUUGGGUUUAAUUGUUUAGAUGAGUAUAAUGAGUUUCUUAAACCAAGCAAUGGACCCCCAAAAUCUGAAUUGGAGUUGUACUUUGAUGAGCCUGUCAUGCCAUGGAGCAAGGAUUUUGACUUAGUGAGUUGGUGGAGAACUGAAAGCCCCAAAUAUCCUAUAUUAUCCAAGAUGGCCCGCGACUUUUUGGCAAUACCAUUUUCACUAGUCAGUUCAUAUGAAGCUUAUUAUUACAGAGAUUCUCGAGCGGCUGAUAAAAGUCUUGCUUUUCUGGGACGAGAUUUAGUUAAUGCAUUGGUGUGCAGUCGGAGCUAUUUUAAAGAGGACUGAAGUUCUUCAUCGUAUUUAGGAUUGGAGAGAGUCAAGUCCCUGAGCAAAUUUUGUUGUGGACAUGACUUGCCUGAUUUCUGCAUAUAUUUGUCAGGGAAUAGCAAGUCAUCUGGAAGGGGUUCAGGAAUCAGGAGGCGUGGAUCCUGCAUCAUCGGAUCAAAGCAUUGGUGGUUUUGUCAUGGAUUUUGUUUGUUGGCUUCGUUCGUGAGUAGUUUGCAUUGCAUUAGAUCUAGUUUCCUUUUGGCAGAAAACGCUGACUUCAAGUAUUAUGUGUUUGCAUUGCAUUAGAUCUAGUUUCCUUUUGGCAGAAAACGCUAACUUCUAGUAUUGUGCGAUUUGUUUGAAGUAUUUUAGUAGACA